CCUACGGGAGGCAGCAGUGAGGAAUAUUGGUCAAUGGGCGCGAGCCUGAACCAGCCAAGUCGCGUGAAGGAUGAAGGUCCUUCGUAUUGUAAACUUCUUUUAAGAGGGAAGAGCAGAAGACGGUACCUCUUGAAUAAGUCACGGCUAACUCCGUGCCAGCAGCCUCGGUAAUACGGAGGGGGCAAGCGUUUUCCGGAUUUACUGGGUGUAAAGGGCGUGCAGCCGGGAAGACAAGUCAUAUGUGAAAUCCCGCGGCUCAACCGCGGAACUGCAGUUGAAACUGUUUUUCUUGAGUACCGGUGAGGUCAUCGGAAUUCAUGGUGUAGCGGUGAAAUGCGUAGAUAUAAGGAAGAACACCAGUGGCGAAGGCGAAUGACUGGACGGCAACUGACGGUGAGGCGCGAAAGCGUGGGUAGCAAACAGGAUUAGAUACCCCGGUAGUC
rnacentral:rRNA from 1 species